UGCUAUGUGUCGCUGGAGGUCAGUUGAAUGUGCCUCUGUAUAUUCUUCUCGGUCUGCGGCUGAGGAAGACUCUACACCUACAUCGAGCAUCGCGAUGUUCUCUGGGCGGAAGGAAAAGAACAAUGGCAGAGUCACGUGAUGCCCACCAAGCUUCUCUCUGGAAGUGGAGAAGUGAGGAGGGGUCUGGGUGAGCCGGUGGCAGUGAGCUGGGUCCUAGCAUUAGCAAUCACGGUCACCGGUGAAAAGAAGAACCAUCGAGAAGAGAAGAGAAAGAACUGGCCUUAGAUCUGCUUGUAGCCAAACUUUUGUUCACACCUACCCCAUGGUUUGUGUAUGUGUCC